AUAAGGGCACACAGGUAAUAAACAAAGCACUAUAAAAGAUCAGAUUGUGGUAUACUGUGGGCUCAUUUCAUUGUAGAGAGCAAGGCAUUCUGCUCACCACCACCACUAACACCACUACCACCACCACCACCAUCACCACCAACCCAGAUGCCUUGCCUUCAAUCUUGGGGCGACAGAGUGAGGUGGGAGGGUACCACUCUACCCCCUCUUCCCUCCCCCAAGGCCACACUAUUUGGAAGGGGCUCUGGGAAGUCCUCUUGGUCAUCUGAUCCACAUCAGACAACAACUCAGUGUCAAAGGAAAGGAUGUCAAGGGGAGAGACGGGGACCCUUGGAUGUGCUCACUUGGAUUUUGGAUUUGACAUUAGUUCCUCAAUUUCAAGCCAUGUGUCAGAUCCAGGUAAGUUGCUGCCUGGGUCAAAACAAGUAUUUGUGUAUCCUCUCGCCUUGCUUCCCUAGGACAGGUGCUGCUGCCAUGUGCUUUUACGGCAUAGGAAUUCUUGGGAGAUCUGGAUACAGAUUCAGGAGGAUAGUUCCUGUGUGUUUCUGCUGAGGGUACCCUGAGUGAGCAAGAAUAUUCCCUCAGAUUCAACAGAUUGGAAAGACCAGCAGGUUGGCCAGUUACUAGGCCAUUUCUACAAUGGAUAGAGAGAGCAUGAUAAAUGUGGAAGUAUGUUUAGAAGAAUUGUAUGUAUUUAAUCUACAUUGGAUUCCUUGCUGUUUAAGGGAGAAGGAAAAUUUAGAGCACAGGAUUUUGCAGGGGUAAUGAAUGUACUAUAAUUCUUGAAGAAAAAUGAAGACUAAAUUUCCACAUUGCUCAAUCAAAUUGAAUCCAGAAUUGUCUGUUUUGUACCAAUACAAACUUUACAACAGAAAAAUGUAUAUUGCUGCUUCUUUAAUUCUCCACAAAAAGCUUAAGAUUCUGGAAAGGACAUUGAAUGGAGUACAUAAGCAAUCCACAGUAGUAUGUGAACAUUUCCCAUGGAAUAUGAACUCUCUACUUGAGAUUGAUCCUGCCCAAGCUUGCAUUUGCCCGAAGGGCUUGUCCAUGGAAAUGACCAGUAGGAUGAUUUCAGAAAGUCCUGGAGAGACUU